GAUGAAGAACGUAGCGAAAUGCGAUAAGUAAUGUGAAUUGCAGAAUUCAGUGAAUCAUCGAAUCUUUGAACGCACAUUGCGCCCCUUGGUAUUCCGAGGGGCAUGCCUGUUCGAGCGUCAUUAUAACCCCUCAAGCUCAGCUUGGUGUUGGGGCCUGCUGCACUGGCAGCCCUUAAAAUCAGUGGCGGCGCCAUCUGGCUCUAAGCGUAGUAAUUCUUCUCGCUAUGGAGUCCUGGUGGAUGCUUGCCAUCAACCCCCAAUUUUUCUAUGGUUGACCUCGGAUCAGGUAGGGAUACCCGCUGAACUUAAGCAUAUCAAUAAGCGAGG
rnacentral:misc_RNA from 1 species